rnacentral:lncRNA from 1 species
CAUAGGAGCGGGGCCAACGGUCGCCCUGGCUGGGUCGCCCUGACUGUCCGACGCGCCCUGGCUCAGCCCCAGCAGAGUGCUGCUAUAGGGAGACGAUGCUAGAGAUUUUCCUAAAGCAAAUCCACACCUCACUACGUAUGGCGCCCGUUGCUCAGCCUCUGCAUCCACACCCCCCACAGACGCCCCAGGAGACCCCGCACAGCUUCUUGUAAACCAAGACAAGCCAGCCCUGGGCCUGGGGCUCCUCCCUGCACCCCACUUAGCCCUGCAACCUUCCAGCCCAACUACAAUUCUCAAGAUGAGGAGUCCAUGAAAAGGAGACUGACAGAUGACACUUUCCUCUGCCAUGACUGACAGGCAGCAGCAAGAGGGAAGACCGCGGUACUGGACAUCACGUGCGGGAACUGCCUCAAAGGUGGGGGCACCUUUCGGGCUGAGCUAACCCAGUCAACAGCAGACUGGAAAAAGACAAAGAACUGUGUGAGAUGGUGCUCAAAACCAGAAAGAUGAACUCUGCAAUGACGACAAAUGGAUUCGGUGUGAUGUGGGCGUGAUACAGAGAAACAUUCUUGAAGGUUCUGGAGCAGUUCAUUUUUCUCAGAGCUGGUAAACUCAUUGUUCGAAUCUUACAAGCACUAGUGUUCAACAUUUCUAAAACUGGGAGGGCCCAGUGAGGACUGGAUGGGCACACAAAUCUAUAAACGAGCACAGACGAACCCUGGGCUGCUGUGACCGCCAGCACCUCUUCCCGUUCUUCCAUGACCCUCCAUGGCAGAGAAUUCUUGGUGACGGGUCAGCCUGCUUCACUUUCAAAGCCAGCUGGGAAAAUUACCAAAGCUGUCAGUCACACACCGUGAUCCACAAGAGGGAGAAAACCUUGUUUGUGUGAGGAACGCCUACAGAUGUGUCUCCAGGAAGCAGAAGUCACAGCCAGGCGGAGACCUUGCCUGACACGGGCAGCUCAAGGCAACAGCAGCUCCACCGCUUCUCCCUGGUUCCCAAGCUCAUCAAUUCCACCUCAAAUACACAGAGACCCAAGGACAGGAGGCGCUGCUGCACCCAGCACUCUUCAUCUCCGAAGUGAGCCUGCGGGGUGACCAACUGCCUUGCAUGGACGGACAGCUGGCGGAAGAGCCUGCAACGUGACCUGCAUUUACAAACAUGAGGAAACCCACUCACCUUCAGUUGUUACUCCUUUCAUGAAUUCUUUUGGUUAUAGCUGUGCCUAUGGCUUUACGGGCUUCACCUGAUAAAUGGUCUUCUGUACUAUGGACAAUUUGGACCCGUAAACCUGGCCUUGAACUAGGUGACACUGAAAUGUUACAGACAAAUCAGAACGUCACAUUCCCUUUAAAUAUUCCCCGCACACAUGCACCAGGCUGACUGGUGGAUACUGGGGUGUGAAAUGAGAGAAACAGCCCCCACUGUGCAGAUGUGGGGACAUGAUUAUUAUCAAUUAACCACAGGCUGCACCUCAGCUCCUGCACACCAGGUGCCUUGUGCCGGUGGCUCUGUAGCAUGGGCCUGUUUAUCUUCAAAGCCAUUUUGUGGCUUCUGGAAAAGGCAAACAAGCUCAGGACAUUGUAUCUCCAAAGAGCACAUCUCUUAAAAGAUUCUUGCCAUAGCUAGUUACACCAAAGGCCCAUUCAAACCCCAUGUUCUACUUUAACAGAAGUGAAAAACCACAAGCAAAGAUGGCAUUCCAAAAUAAGGCAGAAUAUCUAAGACAGGAAGG